UCCUGUGUGGCUCAGUUGGUAGAGCAUGUCGCUUACAACGCCAUGGCUGUAGGUUCGAUUCCCAUGGGGU
rnacentral:tRNA from 1 species